rnacentral:tRNA from 1 species
UCCCGGAUAGUCUAGUGGUUAAGACACCACCUGCCAAUGCAGGGGACACUGGUUCGAUUUCUGAUCUGGGAA